CCUGUGCUAGGGAUCAGACCCAGGACCUGUUACAUGCUAGGCACGCACUGUACACUGAGGCACAUCCCCAUCCUUUUCUAAAAAUAUUUUCAGCCUGAGACAGGGUCUUGCAGAGUUGCUCAGGGCGCUGCUACAUUGCUGAGGCUGGCCUCGAGUCUGUGGUCCUCCUGCCCUGGCCUCCCGAGUAGCUGGGCUCCCAGGCUGGCCACAGCUCCUCUCCACCUGGGGCCUUCACACGGUCUUACUCUUCGAUUCUGAUUCCGUAACAAACCCCUUUGACGUAAAUCACAGUAGAACCAUGGAGCGGCUGACUGCCUUCUCCUGUCCUUGUAGACAGGGCCGGGAUCUGAUUUCACCCCCAGCGUGACCUGGGGGGACCCUGAUCCCGCACAGCUCAGCACAGUGACUUCCGCUCUCCUGUCUGACGGGAAGCAGGCGAGGAGGGGAGCCCUUUCCACCACUUCAGCGGAGGCCGGUCCUGAAAGGAGCCCUUCCUGACUGAGAAGAGGCUGCAGAGCCUCUCCACGUGGCUCUGAUCAAUUACGACACCACAUGGGACACUGCUCAGCCACUGGGUGAGAAGAGGAAUUCGACCCCAAGCACCAGUUGAACAAGAUCAUUCUGCAUUAUUCCAGAUGAUUUCAUUCCGAGAGAAGGUGCCCUGGCGCUCGAGGAAACGCUCCCGGGAUGUGAAACGGGCAGGACGCCUAAUUAGCUUUCAAGAUGUCUAUACUGGAGUUCAAGUGGCCAGAGAAGAAUUCACAAGUACGACUUUUCCUAAAUACUCUGGAAAGGGGCUGGGUGGGGCAGUCUUCUUCCCUUUCUUGCAGAGGGGAAAACUAAAUUUCUAUUUCUGAUUUGUAGUCACUCUUAUAGUGAACAAAAUGUUUGAUUUUUUCCUCUUUUUAGGCUUCCGUGUGAAUCAGUGCCAUGGCUAGGUUCCAGUGACAGCACCGCCAUUCUCACUUUCAUGCCUCAGAUUCCUGCCAGAACGUCUUGGUAGAUCAAGACCCUCUUCCCAAGCUUCUCCAGUGGAUUUCCCUGGACUCUGUUCCCUGAUGGCCACGUCUGGAUCGACAGCAGCAUUUCUACCCAUUUAUUUUGUCAAGUGCUCCAUGAAUAUUAAAGAGCAUCCAGGGACGAUCUGUGGCCCUGUCCUCUCCUUUCAUAGAAAUGGCACCGUGGGCUGCACAACUCAGCCAAGACUCUUCUUCAGUGAGGCAUGGACGUGGGACUGAGUUCUGAUCACCAGGACACAAGCAAAAUUCACUCUGCAACUUCAGUGACGUGUCCUUGGGGGAGCAGGUCACGCAUCCCUCUUCCUUCUGGACAGGCCACCCAGACUGAGUGGUCUCAACAGUGGAAGCCCCGGGUUCCUGACACCCUGAAGAGCCAAAGUAGCCCGGCACUAUCUCUCUCUGGAAUUUUACUCUCAUCUGGUUUAAGACAUUAAGAUAGUGAUAUUUUAGAAUUUCCUGUCACUCCUGAUCAAACAUGAUCUUAACGGAUCUGAGGUCCCAUGUCUUUGGGACAUUCUGCACAUCUCCUCUCCAGUACCACCAGGGGACAUUGGCAUAUGAAGACUCCAGAGGUAUCCACAGAAAAUGGCCUUUUUGAGGUGGUUUAAUCCUCUGCUCUCCCAGGGUCUUCGUUUUUCUUGAUACGUUACAAGGAGGGUGGCUGUUGUGGCGACGAAAUGUAAUUCUUCCCAAACCUUCAUGAAUUCAAGGUUGGGAAAAACCCACGGGACAAGGCAGAUUCACAAGAGAAAAGCCAGCAAGUUAAUUAACACACACAUGCCCACCACGCAGGGGAACCUCAGGGACAGACAAGCCAAAGCGGUGACCUGGAACUCUGGCUCACACAGCACCUUCAACCCAGAGCAACCCUUGUGUUGAGGAACCACAGGAUGGAGGGAAACAGCUUUAGGCUCCAAAGCCAAGACACUGUGGGAAGUGAAUGUAUGAAGAAACAACUGAGCAGGUACAGUGGUGCCCACCUGCAGUCCCUGCAGCUAGGGGGGCUGAGGCAGGAGGAUGGCAAGUUGGAGGCCAGCCUCGGCACCUUAGCAAGGUCUUAAGCAACGUAGCCAGACCCUGUCUCAAAAUAAAGAAAAGUCCUGGGGAAGUGGCUCAGUGGUGUACCAGUACCAAAGAGAAACAAAGAACAAGUGGGGUGAGGUCUGUUUGCAGCCUCAUUUGGUGGAUUCUCUGAGUGGAGUCUUUCCUGGAAAGAAUGGAUAGACAUCUCUUGGCAUAAAAGUGGAGGAUAGAGAGAUUUCCCCCAUUUUCUGCUUCCUAAUUGUCUUUAACUCAAAAUUGCCUCUUUCAUGUCAGAAAGACGCGUUCUCCUUUGCCCUCGUGUCCACUGGGCCGGCUUUGGAGCUCUCUGCACACACCACAGGCUCCCCUAGCAAUGCUCUCGGCUCCCAGCCGGACGGUCGGGGCUCAGAAGGGUGGAGGCUCAAUGGCUGGUCUUAUCAGCGCAACUGCAGUCAACACCCUCGGUCAGCACUCUGGUCGGAUAUCACAGGGAGUUGAUGAAGGAUUCUUUUGAAAGAUAAAACCAUGAGUCUCAUUCAAAGCAUGUGGCCAAGGUCUUAUUGAGUUUAUUAAUUAAGGAGGGAGUCGGUAAGAUGACACAAACCUUUCAAAAGUGCUGACAUGAAUUCUCAAGCAGAUUGAAAGCUGGGGCGUAACCACAAGGCCAUAACCCGUUUAUUCCAUGUGAAAAUAUUUGCUUGUUUUUCUAUGGAGAAGAAUCACUUGCAUUAUUAUAGGUUUUCUACAACUUACUGAAGUCUUAAGAACCUGGAAGGGUGUGCUACACAGGACACCCCAUGAUCCUUUUUCCUUUUUUUCCCCCAUUUACAUUCUUUCACGACUUUUUCUGAAUUUCACUACUAAUAAAACGAGGCUUUGUGCUAGUGACUUCUGAGCUACCUUGAGUCCCAACAUGCUAUUGUUAGUCCAGUUCCUUGGUCAUCAUCUAUUUAUGUGUGUGAAUAAAGCCCACGGGACCUUGCUGGGCCUAUGUGUGUUGGUAGACAUUAGUCCCAGCUCGGAGAGCACCCCAGGUCCGGCCUCCCGGCAGCUUCUCAGCUCUGUGCACACACACCAUGAGCCCACGAGCACACAGUGAGUGCAAGCAGAGCCUGCGCAGAUUUGUUUGCCAAAGCCAAAGCCACCUGCAGACACUGGUGAGGUGGCUAAUCUGACAGAUAACUGGUGCCUUGGUUAAUCAGGAAAGUACCACG
rnacentral:lncRNA from 1 species